UACGUAGGCGGAAAAUUAAGUCAGUAGUGAAAUCCUGCAGCUUAACUGUAGAACUGUUAUUGAUACUGGUUUUCUUGAAUAUAGUUGAAGUAGGCGGAACGUGUAAUGUAGCGGUGAAAUGCUUAGAUAUUACACAGAACACCGAUUGCGAAGGCAGCUUACUAAGCUAUGAUUGACGCUGAGGUACGAAAGCGUGGGGAGCGAACAGGAUUAGAUACCCUGGUAGUCC
rnacentral:rRNA from 1 species